CCUACGGGACGCAGCAGUGGGGAAUAUUGGUCAAUGGGCUUACGCCUGAACCAGCCAAGUCGCGUGAGUGAAGACUGCCCUAUGGGUUGUAAACCUCUUUUGUCAGGGAGCAACGCCGGCUACUUGUAGCCGGACUGAGAGUACCUGAAGAAAAAGCAUCGGCUGACUCCGUGCCAGCAGCCGCGGUAAUACGGAGGAUGCGCGCGUUAUCCGGAUUUAUUGGGUUUAAAGGGUUCGUAUGCGGAAUGCCAAGUCAGCGGUAAAAUCGC
rnacentral:rRNA from 1 species